GGAUUGCAGGCUGCAACUCGCCUGCAUGAAGCUGGAAUUGCUAGUAAUCGCGGAUCAGCAAGCCGCGGUGAAUACGUUCCCGGGCCUUGUACACACCGCCCGUCACACCAUGAGAGUCGGGAACACCCGAAGUCCGUAGUCUAACCGCAAGGGGGGCGCGGCCGAAGGUGGGUCCGGUAAUUGGGGUGAAGUCGUAACAAGGUAGC
rnacentral:rRNA from 1 species